UAGAGGGGAGCAAGUGCAAAGGCCCCAGUGGCCACAAAGUGGGGGUCAGGCAAGAAGCCCUACUAGAUGCACCUCAAGGAGCACAGAUGAAAGAUGGAGAUGGGAAGAUGGGGUGGAAUAUGGGGAAGGCAGAGACAGAGAACCCUGGAGAUGGAGAGGAAGGACUUGGAUUAUCACGGGGCCUGUGGGAAGUUGAUGGCCUGAGCACAGAAGAUGCAAACUCUUGAGACACAUUAGCGUCUCAGAAGAGAGGGGCAGAGAGGCCUGAGGGUGAGGUGCAAGUUGGAGGUAACUCAACAGGAAGUGCUGGCAAGUUGGAUGUUAGGCUUUGGGAAGAACGAGAGCUGAUCUGGGGCUCAGCUCAAGGCCGUCAUUGCAUGGAUGUGAGAGGCUAGCAUUUGGUCCUGAGUCUGUGUCAAACACGAGGGGACCUGAGUGCCUAUGAGUAGAGUCAGCAUGAGGGAUGCUCAGGAGUGAAGGAGAAGAGGAUGGAGGCUCAGCCUUAGGCCCCUGGAGUCUUGGCCUGGCUGACACUGGGCAUGCAAAUGGUCCUGUCUUUCUCUCUGAAGGUGCUCACUGAUGCAGACAUUUCUCUGUUUCCUCCUCCUGAAAUGUCUUUUCACACCACUAGUCAAACGUGUGCAUUGUUAUAGGCACGGAUCCCCUACUGGAAUGUCCAGGUUCUUGUGUCCUGAAACAAAGAACUGGACUCGGGACUUUUGGAUAUUGGCAGAAACUUAGAGUGCUUACUAAGGAAGAGGAAGUCUUUGCCAAGAAUGGAAAUGGACCGGAGAGCUGGGAUGGGCCAAGGCUCCAAAGCUCUGCCCCCUCAUCCAUGACAUAGCAUCUGCCUUUUCCUGUAUUUGGAGAUCCUGGGCUUUUCUCACAUGAGAUCUGUUUUUGCUACAUAUAUCCUGCAGAGACAGACAGACAAACAGACAGACAGAGACAGAGAGUUCUGUCAUGGGUUCUUUUAUAUCUUAACCUUGAUGAUCUCUUUCCCUAUACUCUCCUUUCCUGCCACUUGAUGGCUUGUCCCGCUCAGCAUCUAGCCUUGCGCCUAACCACCCACCUUCUCAGACACAGCUGGACCUGCUCUUAGGCAGGGGCCCCUCUUCUUUGCUCUAUGCAGUACUGAUUUCAGUCUUCUGGCAGGACUUGGGGUGCCUGGGUACAGGAUGUGUCCAGCCUGAGUCAGAGAUGAACUCAGUCCAGGGCAACCCUGAGUCUGUCAGCUGGAUUGGGGUACAAGUGGAGGGUGGAAUCAAUCCCCAAGCCUCAGAGCCAAGCUAAUGCUCAACUUAUUCUCACUCCUGAAAUUAUAACCCUUUCUUUGGGCAUGGCAGCGCACACCAUUAAUUCCAGCCCUUGGGAGAGAGAGGCAGGUAGAUCUCUGUGAGUUUGAGGCCAGCCUGGUCUACAUGUGAUUUCCAAGCCAUCCAGGGCUGUAUAUUGAGACACACACCUCCUCUGAAAACAAGCAAAUGUGUCUCUGUGUUUGCACGUGUGUACACACACGCAUUGGGAGGUCUGAGGUUGACAUCAGAGAUCUUCCUCAGUCAUUGUCUACCUUGUCUGAGAUAGUCUCUUACUAGAUCUGAAACUGAUUGACGAAACUGGUCUGGCUUGCCCACAAGCCCCUGAGAUCCUCCUCUGUCUCCCCAGUGCUGGGGUUUCAGGCAUAGGCUGCCAAGCCCAGCUUUUUGCAUGGGUGCUGGGGAUUUGAACACAGGUCCUCACAUUGGACAGCAAGCAUUUUAUUGACUGAGUCAUCUACUCAGCUAUACCAACCCUGUCUCUAAUAAGGCCUGAGCCUUGCCACCUAUCAAGGCAUCAGACAUUUAGGGGUCCUCAGAAAAACCUGCUAAGGUGGAGCCGAAGGUGGUGAAGGCUGUGUUGGGAUGAGGGGAAGAAACACGUUUAUUCUGCGGUGACUCUUUCCAAAGAUGGUUGUUGUGGUUUUCACUCUUUACUCCUUUGUUCUUUGAGGGGCCCACCACGCAGCUCCCAAUAAAUCACACACAGAGACUUGUUCUUACUUAUGAAUGCCCGGCCUUAGCUUGGCUUGUUUCUAGCCAGCUUGUCUUAAAUUAUCCCAUCUACCUUUUGCCUCUGGGCUUUUAACUUUCCCUUCCUUCUGUAAUUCUUACUUUCGCUCUCACUCCGUGGCUGGCUGGGUGACUGGCCCCUGGCACCCUCCUCUCCUUGUUCUUGAUCCUCCUCUCUUCCCAGAUUUCUCCUUCUAUUUAUUCUCUCUGCCUGCCAGACCCACCUAUCCUUCCUCCUGCCUUGCUAUUGGCCCUUCAGCUCUUUAUUGGACCAUCAGGUGUUUUAGGCAGGGAAAGUAAUACAGCUUCACAGAGUUAAACAAAUGCAACACAAACGAAUGCAACACAUCUCCAUAUCACUAAACAAAUGUUCCACAGCCUAAACAAAUGUAACUCAUCUUAAGAUAAUAUUCUACUACAGAUGGUGGCUUUGCAAGCCCCUUAAUUGGAUGCACUAUGACUGGGGGCCUGCCAGCAGCCCUUCAGGAUCUCCGUGCCCCUUCACAUCAAUCAGAACCUGAGUCCUCCACCACCUGAUAUUAUUUAUGAGGUUCAGAGCGUCAGCCAGCUGGCCUCUCUGAGAAGAAACAAGAGGCCAAGGCUCCAGUCAUGUGGUGAGCCAUGCUCUCAGUCAGGCCUCUGGUUCGCCCUGUGUCCAAGCCCCCUGAAGGACCAAGGAAGCUAUCACGGAGGAGGUGGCCCACCCCCACACAGAUGCAUGCAGCUUGCACAGCAGUGCAAGGCACACGCCCCUCACCUGCACAUUCCUAUGAUACCUGAGGGCCAUAGACACUCAGCCUAAGCCAAUGGCAUUUCUGAUGUACCUGGUCGAUGGUAUAUGUACCAGAACCUACUUGCCUCCCAUUCUGGAGAUAGCCACUCCCUCUGUUGUAGGGGGAUAUGUUUCAAACAGGCUUUGUGUGUGUGUGUGUGUGUGUGUGUGUGUGUGUGUGUGUGUGUGUACAAAUUUUUGUGUGCAGGUACAUGUCUGUACCUAUGCGUAUGGAGGCCAGAGGACAAAUUAGGCUGUUAUCACUCAGGUGCCAUCCACCUUGAUUUUUUUGAAACGAGGUCUCUCAGUGGCCUGGAGCUCACCAAGCAGGCUCAGUUGUCUGGCUAGUGAGUCCUGGAGAUCUGGCUGUCGGCACUGGCAUUAUAAGCACACACCACCGUACCUGGGUUUUUAGAUGUUGGUUCUAGGGGCUCACACUCUGGUCUUCACACUCACUUGGUGAGCUGGUUAGUUUUUUGUCAACUUGAUGCCACACAGAGUCACCUGGGAAGAGGGAGCCUCAACUAAGGAACUGCCUCCACCAGAUUACUCUGUGGGCAUGUUUGUGGGGCAUUUUCUUAAUUAAUGAUUGCCAUGGGAGGGCCCCGCCCACUGUGGGAGAUGCCGGCUGUGGUCCUGGGCUGUAUAAGAAAGCAAGAUGGGCAAGAAGCCAUGGAGAGCAUACAUCAUUCCUCCAUGGUCUCUGCUGCAAUUCCCGCCUCCAGUUUCCUACCCCAACUCCCUUCAGUGAUGGACAAUUACCUGCAAGUGUAAGCUGAAAUAAACCCUUUCUUCCAAUUUGCUUUUGGUCAUAAUGUUUAUCAAACUUAAAUAGAAAUUAGUACCAGACACUGUUACAGACCUGACAAUGGUUUUUGUUGUUGUUGUUUUGUUUUGUUUUGUUUUGUGUUUGAUUGUGGACAGAGUUUGGAACUUUGGGGUGGAAAAGGCCAAUGAAUUUUGAGAGCUUAAUGAGCUAUUAUGUCUUGGAAGAUGUUGAGAGAGGUACAGAUGAUGGAGGCCUGGUGAUGAAGUUUCCAAGGGCAGCAAAAGCCUUUGCUUUUGUUUCUGUGGUAUUUUGGGUUAAGCAUCUGUGGAAAUGAAACCUUUGCUUUACUGGGACAGUAGAUGCUGGUUAUCUGGGGCUGAGAAAUCAGUUGUGAUUAAUAAGAGAUCCGAAUCAUUGAGCCAAGAUAUUCUGGGAAGUAUUUCUUCAGGGCCAGCACACGGAAACUGUAGUCUAGAGGGGGUCAGGUCUGCAUCUCAGGCUGAAAGCUGAACUUGGCAAAAUGUAAGAAUUUCUCACACAGUCCUGGUUCUAGUGACACAGAGGGGUCAUAGGGAGCAGCUAAGUCUUGGCACUGUCGGAGGCUGGGAAAGGCCGUUGAUGAAAGUUGGAGUUGCCAGGACAGAGGGGUGACCACCAAGAACAAUGAUAGGUGUAGGGUAGAGCUGGCUUGAGCCUACAAGACAGUCUGUAUGUGUUGUGGAUGGCAGAGCUGGAGAAGUGGAGCUGUGUAAGCUCUUGGGGGCCUAGUUGAUCAUGAGUGAGUCCCAGGUGUCAGACACUGAGCCACAAGGUUUGGAGCUACACUUUUGGACUUCGGUUUUGCUUAAGUAUGGUUGUUUUCAUGCCCUAGUCCUGGAGAAAGAAGGUUCUUAAGUUAAUUUUGGUUUCACAGGGACUCUGAGUUAAAAUACUUUGGACAUCUUAAAGAGAGUUUGAAAUUUUAAAGUGUUUGAAUUUUUAAAAGACUAUGGGACUUUUAAAGUUAUGCUAUGCUUUAUAUUGUGAUGUUAAUGUGAGAUCUUGGGGAUAAACAAGAAAGAAAAGGUUAUGGUUUGAUAGCUACACAUUUUUGUAUGUGUCAAAUUGACAAGGGAUUGGUUGUGCUAAUUGGUUUUUUCAACUUGAGACAACCUAGAGUCUUCUGGGAAGAGGAAACCUCAGUUGAAGAAUUGUAUCUACCUGUGGGCACAUCUGUGAGCACUUUCUUAAUUAAUGAUUGAUGUGAGAGGGCCCAGAUCACUCUGGGCUGUGCCACCCCUAGGCAGGUGGUCCUGGGAUAUAGGAAAACAAGGUGAGCAAGUCAUGGAGAGCAAGCUAGGAAGCAGUGUUCCUCCCUGGCUUCUACAUCAUCUUCUGCCUCCAGGUUCUUGCCUUGAGUUCCUGCCCUGACUUCAUGAUGCACUCUAAAUUGUAGCUAAAUAAACCCUCUUCUUCCCAAGUUGUUUUUAUUCUGGAUUUUUAUCACAGCAACUAAAAGCACACUAGAGUGUUAACAAGCAUUUUACCAAACUGAUCUGUCACCGCAGACCUCAAUCUGGCCUGCGCUGAGGACAUUGAAGUGUUCCUCUUCCUGGAAAGGUCACAUUUCAGAGAGCAGAAUCUAUGACUAUUUCUCAAGCACCUGACUCCAUGAUAGAGCUGCAGGCUCAGAGUCCUUAAGUAGAAGGACAUGUCAUUUUCCACAUAGACACAAUCACUGGUCCCAAGGGAAAGCUGGGCUUGGUCAUAACUGGGAAGAAGUCACAUUUCCUCAAUGGCUAAAGCUACAUGACCCAGGCUAUGACUGUGGUCCUCUAGGUCAGGGCUAUAGGAGUAAGGAUGAGGUUUGGUGUCACAGGCCCUAAAAAGUGGAAUAUUUAGCAACAACAUGGUUCAAUGUGUUAGCAAGGAGCCGUCUCCUACCUCAACCCCUCAGCCUAAGAGGAUCUCAAGCCUGCCUCUGUGUGGCUUUUAUUCAGGGCAAAGAAUGACACCUGCCCGUCUUGCCAGGACUGCAGAUUGUAUGUCACAAAGGGAAAGGAAAGGAAAGGAAAGGAAAAAGGAAAGGAAGAGCCAGCAGACUCUAUUUGGAAACAAUGGGGACCUUAUUUCCAUCUUUGCUGUUGAAGAGUGGGGUCAGGCUUGGGACAUCAUGCCCCCUGCAGUUUCUGUUUAUUGGGAAAGGUUGAAAUGGAGAGAGAGAUGGGUUCUGCUGGAACCCGGAUGUGCAAGAGCCUCCUCCCUCCUCUCACCUCUUCCAGCCACAAGGCAGCCUGCAAUGACUUUCUCUGGUCUUGCAAUGCCACACCCCACCUUCACACUUCCACUCUAGUCUCCUGGAACAAGGACUACUACUUGGCAAUUUUUUUUAAGAAGUUUUUAUUUGUAGUUUUAAUCAUGUAUAUGUGUGCAUGUCUCUUUUGUGGCUAUGUACGUAUGAACGCAGAUACCCACGGGGGCCAAAGGUAUCAGGUUCUGUGGAGCUGAAGUUACAGGUUCUUGUAAGUCACUUGAUGUGGGUGCUGGAAAUCGAACUUAGGUCCUCUGAGAGAGCAGCACACAUUCUUGACUGCUGUCUUGGAGUCAUCUCUCCAACCACCUGCUGAACAUCUGUGUCAUAGUUAGGCACCUUGUUUUUCAGUGGAAAGUAUUGCUGACCUUUAGCAUGGAUCAAAACAUACCCAUGAGUGGGCCGCAUUUGAGCUGGGGGCCUGAAGGACUCUGAGUCAAGCCCUAACUAGAUUGCCUUAAUGGUGGGUCUGAGCUGGCCACACUGAAUACUGCCUGGGGAGGGGGGGACAUGGCGUCUGAGGUCCCUUGGCACUGACUGUGUGGCUGGAGGCAAGAUUCUGACCCUUUUGUGACUCCAUGGCACCUGUCUCCUGGCCUGCUAUGACCCAACCAGGAGAAGACAUGAGAGUGUCCAUGCGGCAGGGGGCAAACAGUUCUGCUGGAUGAACCCCACCCCCAGGGCCUGGCCUGAGGUAGCACGGAUGGAAGAAACAAUGGCAGCUGGGUUGACACCUUAAGUGCAGUCGGUAGCACCUUCUCGGGAUGGGCUUUUCCUGUACCACAGUUUUGUAUGUUUGACAUCCAUUGUACCAAGAAAAGAAGGCGGAUCCAGUAGAAAAGCAGAUGAACCCCCUGGCUGUGCUGGGACUCUACACAGCCCUCCUCUGCUGACUCUUUUCCACCCAGAACUGCCCAGCUGAGCCCAGCAUCUCCCAGACAAGACAGGCCAUCACGGAAUACUUCUGUUAAGCCCCACACCAAAGGAGUGUCAUGAUUAAUACUGAUUAUCACCUUAAGAGGACCUAAAAUCGUGGAUGAGACACGCUUCUGGGCAUAUCUGAGGGAUCACCUAGAUAAAGUUCAUUGUUUGGGGAAGAUUCACCUUGAAUGUGGGCUGCACCACUCUGUGGGCUGGGGUCCUGAACUGCAUAAAAGUGAGAGAGUGGGCUGUGCACCAGCUCCCAUCAUCCCCUGCUUCCUGACUGUGGAUGUGCUAUGACCAGCUGCUUCAAGUUCCAGUUGCUAUGACCUCUUCACCAUGGUGGACUGUAUCCACAGACUGUGACCCUAAAUAGACUCUCCCCUCCCUUAAGUUGUUCCUACCAGGUUUUCUGUUGCAGCUAUGAGAAAAAGAACCAAUCCAGGGAGCUUCCUCGGUUCUCAUGCUGAAGUGAGGCUUAAUGUGUCAACAUGUGAGGCAGUUGGGAGCCACGACUGGCACAUGCAGCCUAGCACAUCAUGUCUCCUCCUGUGCUUCCAUGCUCCAUCAUCGGUUACCACCCCACAGUGGCGUGAUAUUCCAGGAGGAGCAAUGUCCUCAUCUGCUACCAAGCACCCAGCAGACUGUGACCCAAGGCAUGAGCAAUGCUGAGCUUGAAGCAUGAGCUGGGGACUCAUGGGGGCUGACCCUGGAAACCCCGAAGGACUAGAGAGAGAAAUGCUGGUUACAGAUGGGGGGCAGGGACAAAGUGUUGGCUGCUAAGGAUUUGCCAGGGUAGCAGACGUGGUAGAGCCAUGCUGAUGCUAGCAGGGAUACUGCAGGAAAGCAGAGUAUGUCAGACUUCGGUCUCAGAAGGGAAGCCAGAGCAGGGGUCUUGGGGUCACUGGGCAGGGCUCCAGGCAGCCUGGGAGCCAGGAGGCCGGGCUGAUGCAAAAGAGACCGCCCAAGCUGGAAGGCGCCAGUCUCCGGGGUGACACUGGUCUCAAAGAGAGAGGACAGAAUGGGCUUUUGUGUGCAGUAGAUGGGGUAGGGAGGGGAGGUUGUCCCAGGAGAGAGACAGUUAGAGGAAGGAAUGAAAGGGGCCAUAAAACAUGGCGGAGAUGCCCACUUUGUAAGCUUGCUAGACAACAAAUGGCUAGGAGACUGCAUGCUCUGAAUAGGGACCUGACUGGAGCGGGAGGAGUGGGCAGAAGGGGGAUUCUGGAACCUGAGAAGGUGUGCCCAGUUCAGCGUGGAGAGGUCCUUGCCGCUCUGUCCGGUGGAGCAUGACUGAAGUUCGUUGGAGCCAAAUGGCUUGGUUCCCACAGCAGGGUCUUGUCCUUUCUCCCCAAAGGCCAAGAGCAGAGCAGAUGUCAGAUGGAAGAAUGAGUGUUGUCUCCUGAGCCUCAGUUAUACCACUGCAAGUGGGCAUCCCCAGGCUGAGUACUCUAGUCCCAUGUGGACACACACCUGGCCAUGGAGCAAGUGCCAGCUGCUCAGUCCUAUGCCUGUACCUGGCCGCAGACAUGUGCCCAUGCUUCCAGGUUGGGCCCAGAGGACUUCAGGGACCUUCUGAUGGGUUGAAAGGAUGAGUGUGGUCCUCUUGUGAGGAAGGAUGCUGUAGCCAGGGCUGUUAGUCUAGGUUGGCACCAACAUAAGACCUGCUGUCUGAAAGGGAGGACACAGGAGGCUGUGGGAAGUCUGGGGACCUAUGAAUAUCUCCAUGAUGUCACACAGUCAGGCUCAGAUUAGGUCAACCACGUGCCCAGUCAGCCUUUGUGGAAUAGGGAUGCCCUACCCCUGUCUCCCUUCUAAGAGAGUUUACAGAUUUCUAGGGAGUCCAGGGGAUGAGCACUUCCCUGCAAACAGCAGCCCCUCUCUCCUGGAAAAGAGGCCUUGGCGGGAGAUGGGAUGGAAGCCCUUGCAAGAUUCUCUUCACCAUGUCCGCUGCUGUGCUUACCACACCCCCAGCAUGAGGUGGCCCCAGUCACCCUAUUUGAAACAAUCCAAUCCCGAGGCCCACACAGAGCUAGCAAGAUGGAAGUUGGGCCCCUGUGCCUGGGAGCCAGGCCAAGGCUGCUCUUAGCAACAGGGUGUUCAGGGAAAAUUGUGCUCACAAUUCAGGGCAUGUGUGGCUGUUUGCCAUGGAGACUGUGUGCCUGUGUGAGGAGCCUUUACAAAAGAGCAGUGUGUGCGUGUGUGUGUGUGUGUGUGUGUGUGUGUGUGUGUGUGUGUGUGUGUGUGCAUGUGUGCAUGAAUCACUUCUGCUCACACACAAGAUAGCAGCACUUAUACAGAACAAAGAGCUGAAUGGAGACAAAUCACUAAUCAGCUACUACUGGCAGUGGGAAACCAAGAAGAGACCUAGGAGUUCCUGCACAGUCUACAUUUGUAGUCCUAAGAAUCAAUGUCUUUGCACAAAGAAACGUUCAGUGUUCAAAGUGGGAAAUGAUGGAGCAGAUGUUUGUGCAUCACCAAGAAUUUCUUGUUUUGCAAUGAAGAAAUGGAUGUACUGUGGCUGCCUAGGAUGUCUUGGCCUCGGGCAUGUGUUCAGGUCCGCACAUGGUUCUCUCAAGGUGCUGGCUGCAGGGUCUGCAGAGACAGGACAUGCAAGCACUGGCUAGCCCCGGGAACCACCUGACGGCCAUCUUCCCAGGGCCCAGAUGAGUAUUGCCUGCUGUAAACUAGGCACAGACUGGGUGAAUAAACCAAUGAGCACAGACUGGAAGAAUAAGCCAAUGGGCACAGACUGGGCACAUAAGCCAAUCAGUGGUCCAUUUUAUAGAUGAGGAAAAGACGCUCAGAGGUCACACCCUUCAACCUAUGAAUGACAGGAUCAGGACUUGAUCAAUUUGAAAAAGAGGAUCCAGCUGUGUCUUGAAUCUACUGAACAUGUGGGCGGGUCCUUGGGGAGAAACUUAGUCAGAGAGGCCUUGUCAGGCUUGGGAGGGCUCAACUAAGACUGAACAGUAGAGAAAUUACCCAGGGUUCCUCAGUUCCUUUGGCCCCCAGCCUUUAAAAGUCAAUCUUGUAGAGUUCAAGAGAACAGAAGGACCCAGCCAGGGUUUGUGUUCAACAUUAAGUCCUUGGAGAAAGACCAGCCUGGAGUGGGCCUCUCUUCUGUGGCCAAUGCCUCAAAACACGCCCCCACCCUCACCCCCGAGGCUGGGCCAUGGAAUAAACGUAUGAAUGAGGCCAUGAAAAACAGAACCUCUGGGCUUGAUUGUCCUGGGGACCCAACUUGGCCACUCUCCCCAAGAACUGUAUCCUAAUGCUUGGUGCCAAAGAUAUUGCUUGAUCUGAGUCCAGAGAGCCAGAAUAAGGCAGAGCCAAGACUUUUAGCACAGCCAACAUGACCCCCAAUGGCUAUACUUGAUGCCAGAGAUGGAGAAGAGGGAGAGCUAGCCCAGCAUUGACAGUUUCCAGGCAGAGACAUCAACACUAGCUCAGUGGGGGGAAGGGGGCAGAACCAAGGAGAAUGCUGCGUGGUUCUAUCCACACAUAUCCAGAAGAGCAGUGACAGCAACAGACCCCUACCCAGCAGGAGCGCUUUUCAGCCCCUGCACAGGGAGACUGCACAGCCAGCUCAGACCAAGGCGCUGAACCUGGAGCUCACCAAUUCAGUUAGACUGGCCAGCAACAAAAGCAGUAACGCUCCUUCCUUUUUUCUCUGCCUCCUCAGCACUGGAGUUACAGGCAUGUGGGGCCCAUGCCUGGCUGUUUGCACAGAUGCCAGGGAGCCGAAUUCAGAUCCUCCUGCUUAUGUGGCGAGCACCUCACCCACCUAGCCCUCUCCCCAGCCUCUGCGUUCUUGAAACAUGCUAAGAGGAUAGGUCACCACCAUGCAUACCAGGUAUUAGUCACCUCGACUGUUCUUACCAUGCCAUGAAGUAUCAAUAUACAGACCUCUGCUCAUCACACUGUAUAGCUUCCACAAGGCCAGACAAAGAGCUAGCUCCAACUCUGUUGACUAUACUGACUUCAUUUCAUUUGAUCCAAUCAUCUUCCCAUGCCCACAGCAUGGCAUGGAGCCACCGCCUACCCAGGGCAGAGGAGAUCUCUCAAGUAUGUAGCCCUCACUGGAUCUGAUGAUGAGGGGCCCAGCCUAGCAGAAGUUUUAUGCAAAGAGCAUCCUUCCCAGCCCAUUAGCAUCUCUAGGCUGGAAGGACCAACUCUUAAGGGCUUUUUUUGCUCCUGGGAAACGCCUGGUACAGUCCUUUAUGGGAGUGCUCUAUGUGCAGAUGUUGUGAAACACUGUCCUCCAGGCAUGGCAUGGCCAUUGCCCUCUGGGACUCUCAGAGGUGUGAUUACCCAUGGGAAACUGACACAAGUCUGGGCCAAUCACGGAGGAGAGAGGGGCCCUUGAGAGCCUGCCGCUCCCCAGGAUUUAUAGUUAAUGGUUGCUAGGGGAGGUGCUCACAAGGCCACAUCCUUUCCCAAAGAUAUAGAGACUGUUACCAGUUGCUAGGGAAGAGAUUGUUUUUCUUCCAUUCUGAAGCCCCCCAUCAGUUGCCCGUGCUCCUGUGUGUAACCCCAAUUAAAAUCGCUGGUUCGCCAAGUUAAAUGGAAUUGUUUCUGUCAUGGGUACCCAUACUACUAGUUAGUUUCUUCUUAACUUAGACACAAGCUGAGAAGAGGGAAUCCUAAUCAAGAAAAUGCCCCUGCCCACGUCAGAUUGGCAAGCCAGGGGGGAGAAAGCCAGGAAGCAGCGCUCCUCUGUGGUCUCUUGCUUCAACUCCUGCCUGAGUUCCUGGCCUGACUUCCCUUCAUGGUGGACCAUAAGCUGUACACUGAAAUAAACCCUUUCCUCCCCAA